CACCAGACUAUGUGCUCCCUGAGAGCAGGGGCAUGUCUGUGCCUGUCACCAGUACAUACCCAUCUGCCUGGUACAAAGAAGAGAUGGGAGGCGUCUGAAAGUUUUGAUGGCUCAACAUCCAUGCUUCUCCCUUCUGUUGCUUGGGAAAUAACUCCAGUGAGUCCAUCCUCUUGUUUCCCGGGAAACUGAACCUUAAGAAGCAGAUGGCAGGAUAAAGCAUGUGUGGAGCCAGGAAGAGCUCUUCCUCCAGCUGCUAGAUCCUUGCAGCAUCAAUGCUUCCCCUCUUGGGAGCCUGCCUGCUUCCACUUUUCUUUCUAUUCUGUUAACGUACUAUGAUUGUUAGUUCUUUUUUAUUCUUUUGUUCCUUGUUGACUGUGCCAAGAAAACCUAACUGAUAGAAAUAAGUAUUUGAUAAUUAUAUGUUGAAUGACUUGUUUUAAUGAAACAAAAUAUAAACCAGAGGGUCCUGAAACCAAAAUGAAAUAAAUAAGAUUCCGACUUUCA